rnacentral:lncRNA from 1 species
AUGGAACAAGCGGUACAUGCGCACGAGCUCCCCGAUGUCAUGAGGCAGCGAAGCCCAGGGCGCAGAGGAGUCCAGAUGGAUGUUGUGCAGAUCGGCGGGCAGCGGGUCCUCGGCAGCCUCGGGGCCCUGCGCCUGGGAGCCCCCGGGGCCCUGCUCUUCCUCCGCAGGCGCGCUGAGCUCCGAGCAUGUUGGCGGCGGCGGCGGCAGUGGCAGCAGCAGCGGUGGUGGCAGAGGAGGAGGCUGAGGUGUGGACUCGCUGGGCUGGCGGGGCUGGCCCUCAAGCCUCUUUCUCAAACGCUGUGCCGGGCCCGGGAGGGAGGGGAGGAAGGGAGGGAGCAGGUUACUCCAGAGGCAAGGACCCCAGGGUGGUGGCAGCGGAGGCGGAGGAGGAGGCUGAGGUGGCGUGGGCACGCUGGGCUCAAGCCUCUUUCUCAAACGCUGUGCCGGGCCCGGGAGGGAGCCGCAGGCAUCAGGUAAAGGGGAGGGGGCCGGGCAGCCUCUGCCCUGCUCCCAAGCGAUCCUCCACAGCAGAACAUAGAACUUUGCGCGCUAGGCUUUGCACCACAAAGGCUCACGUUCUGGGAGCUCGGUCUCUAAGGACACAGUACUGAGAGGUGCGGAGACCCUCGGAGGGGAGGCCUGGUGGGGUCAUUCGGCCAUGGGGUCGCGCGCAGCCGCCGUGGGCCCUGGGGGCAGUGAACCGGCCGAUGGAAGACACCUCUCUCUGCCUCGAACUCGUUCAAAGAGAUAAAUACAUCUUAAAAAAAAAGUCGGUCUCAUUGCGUCUCAUCCAAUACAUUUAAACGCGCACCCUGCACACACGUGUUGGCUCAGCCUGCGCGGGCGGCUCUCGGCUGGCUCCCCGCGCUGGGGCUGGGCGGCGCCAUCCACCAGGCGCGGUCCUGGCCGCCACCGCCGGCCGGCUCAGACUUGAACUCUUGCGCCCACAACCGCAACCGCAAUGCAGCCGCGAGCGCCCCGUCCGCCCGCCCGGGGGAGUCUUUCUUGUCAAGUGCCCACGCGCAGGAAGUUCGGGACAAGUCCCGGGGCAGCCUCUGCCUGCCAGCCUCGCGGGGACUGCGAAGCGCAGCGCGCGCAUUGGCCAUUGCCCUGAGCAGCCAGCGCAGCGGUGACCACAGCAAGUGAGUGCGCGGCGCGGAGGGCGCGGGGCUCAGGACAUACCUUGAUCACAUACACAUCCAGAUGAAGCUCGGGCGCUAACUCUUGGACUCGGCUCCAAUCUGGGCAGCGGCUGGUUUCUAAAACAGCUUGCAGCAUCCCCAGCUGGUCGGGGGUAAAGGCCAUGCGGCUGCGGCGAGAGGACCUGGGCACUGCAGAGGGAACAGCAACACAGGCCUUUGGUUUGCUUUAAGCAAGAAUCCAUUGGAGUUCCUGAUGCAGACAUUUGGGGCGUGACCUGGUCCCCGGUUGCUCGGGAGACACCAGCGCUCUCUCUCGGGGUCUCUUCCUCUUUGCC